UUUCCGUAGGUGAACCUGCGGAAGGAUCAUUAUUGUAUAACCGAGGUGCGAGGGCUGUCGCUGACCCGAAAGGUCGUGCACGCCCGUGUGCCCUCACACACAUCCAUCUCACCCCGAUGUGCACCACCGCGUGGGUCCCCCUUUGGCUUGUUCGGAGGGGGGCUUACGUUUUCACACAAACUUUGUAUGCAGUGUAGAAUGUAUUUUUUGUUUUUGCGAUCACGCAAUCAAUACAACUUUCAACAACGGAUCUCUUGGCUCGC
rnacentral:misc_RNA from 1 species